UGUAACCGCUGCUUAUUUAUUAAGUAGAGGAAAGUCCUGGCUUGCACAAUCUGCGAUGAUUGUAGUGAUUAUGCUAGUUGAAUAAAUAAAACUAGGUACUUUGGAGAAAGUAACGGCGAAAAUAAUCUAAAAGCUUUGCUCAUGAUGAUUUUUCUUAACGUGCCACAGUGACGAAUUUAAAGGAAACUUUAAAGUGAAACGCGGUAAACCCCUUAAGCAAGAAACUCAAAUUUUGGUAGAGGAAACUGGAGAAGAGAAUUGAAUCUAAUCUAGUAGGUGAAAACCUAGAUAAAUGGUUACAUAAAACAGAACUAGGCUUACG
rnacentral:RNase_P_RNA from 1 species